GACGAGCGCUGGCGGCGUGCUUAACACAUGCAAGUCGAACGGUGAAAGCGGAGCUUGCUCCGCUGGAUCAGUGGCGAACGGGUGAGUAACACGUGGGCAACCUGCCCCUGACUUCGGGAUAACUCCUCGAAAGAGGUGCUAAUACCGGAUACGAAUCCUGCAGGCAUCUGCGGGAUUGGAAAGUUUUUCGGUCAGGGAUGGGCCCGCGGCCUAUCAGCUUGUUGGUGAGGUAGUGGCUCACCACGGCGACGACGGGUAGCCGGCCUGAGAGGGCGGCCGUCCACACUGGGUCUGAGACAUGGCACAUACUCGUACUGUAGGCAGCAUUGGAUAAUGUUGGACAAUGGGCGCAUGCCUGAUCCAGCCAUACCGCGUGGGUGAAGAAGGCCUUCGGGUUGUAAAGCCCUUUUGUUGGGAAAGAAAUCCAGCUGGCUAAUACCCGGUUGGGAUGACGGUACCCAAAGAAUAAGCACCGGCUAACUUCGUGCCAGCCGCCGCGGUAA
rnacentral:rRNA from 1 species